AACGAACGCUGGCGGCAGGCUUAACACAUGCAAGUCGAACGGAUCCUUCGGGUUUAGUGGCCGACGGGGGAGUAACGCGUGGGAACGUACCCUUUGCUACGCAACAACUCAGGGAAACUUGAGCUAAAAUCGUAUGUGCCCUACGUGGGAAAGAUUUAUCGGCAAAGGAUCGGCCCGAGUUGGAUUAGCUAGUUGGUGGGGUAAUGGACUACCAAUGCGACGAUCCAUAGCUGGUCGGAGAGGAUGAACAGACAAACUGGGACUGAGACAAGACCCCGACUGCUACGAGAGGCAGCGGUGAGUAAUAUUGGACAAUGAGCACAAGCCUGAUCCAGCCCGGACGGGUGAGUGAUGAAGGUCUUAGGAUUGUAAAGCUCUUUGGCCGGUGCAGAUAAUGACGGUAGCCGGAGAAGAAGCCCCGGCUAACUACGUG
rnacentral:rRNA from 1 species